UAUCAGGAUUCCAGGCCUGAUGUGAUCUCCUGGUUGGACCAAGGCAAAUUCCCAUGGAUGGUAUGAAGGACAUCUCUAGGGGGCCUUCUCCAGGUGAACAGGCCAAGAAAUAAGAACUUGAACCAAAGAUUCAAGUCUGAACUACAUUAUUUCUGAAGACUUUUCCCCAUGGAAUAGCAGAAAAAUUCAAGUCAGAUGGCAUUUUGUACUCCCUAAGUGAAGUCUCAGAUUUUGGUGAUUACUUAGGGUAUCACUGGAGAAUCCACCUGAUCUGGGGGCUGGAAGUCCAGGAGCAGGGUGCCAGCGCAGUCGGACUCUGAUCAAGAGAAGUCACACCCAAAGUCAAAUGAAGAACUACAUCCAAGGAGCCUUACCUGCACUUAUACCUGAUUUAGAUACUGGAUUUAGAUUCUGGACCUUGAACCUGAGCCCAGUCCCAUAAUAGGAUAAGACUUGGGGGCAGAGCUUGCAAGGGGGAGAAGGGGAGUAGAGGCUGAUCCCUGAGCCCAGGGAGGAUCUUUCUCACAUGGGGCUUACCCCAAAGUGUUCAGGUCAAUAGGACUUGUGGAAAAGAAGACGAAAGCGGGAACUGCCUGGAGACCUGCCUGCCCCUCACCAUCAUGUCCUGGCCCUGAUGCUUGAGGGACUUGAGGGAGAAAAACAAAAGACAUGCUUCUGACAUUCUCACUGAACUUCACUUGUCCUUGGUCAGUAAAGCAAGGGAAGCACCUUAAACACUGUCUGGAAACUUCUUUAGCUAGAUCACCCAGUUUAUUAGGUACAUUUUCUACUUUCUGAGUUACUGCAGGUGACUGUGUAGCUAAACUUUCUGCCACUAUGCAGAAUGGAUUCCUGUCUCUGACUUUUAAAAGACAUUUUCCUCCAUUUCCUUUAAGCU